rnacentral:tRNA from 1 species
UCCCUGGUAGCUCAGAUGGUAAAGCAUCUACCUGCAAUGCAGGAGACCCGGGUUCGAUCCCUGGGUCGGGAA